UGUCAAGUCAGCACAUGUUGCAAACUGUUUGAGGAAAUGAUCUGAGGAAGUGCCUUUUUUUUAAUACUAACUUGUGUUUAUUGGGAAUUUGUAUGUUUCAUUUUCUACUGCGAUCACAAGUCUCUUCAGAACUCACCAGCCUUACCUACUAAAGAAAUGAAGCAGUCUGUCUCAGAAAUCAGCAGGAAUCCCCCAGGUAGAGCAUCUAAAAGAAAGCGAACUUCAUCCGCCUCUGGAGAGAGAACGACUACACAAUCAGUUGACUUGCCAUAUGACUUUCGUUAUGAAGAAAUAGUCACGAUCGAUAUCGAUGAUGUUCUGACCACUGUCACUCCUGCAGGUAAAAUGGACCAAAAAGAGACUUAAGACACACUGAAAAGUCAAAACUUAUUAAAUCCCCACGAGAAGGAUGCCAUACUAGAAAUUGCCAAAUUAAGGUGUGACUAGCAGACAAGAAAUUCUCAUGGGUUCAGCAGGGUCACAAAAAAAAAAAAAAAAAAACAGGUUGAGAAGAAAAGAUAUUAACUGCAAAAUGCUAAGAAUAAAUGUGAAGCAUAAGGUGUGAAACCAUCAGGAACCCUUUAGUCUCUAGUGCCACCAUUUUCCAGAACUGCAACCUACCUGGAAUCUCAGGAUCUCAGAGACUUCGGUUAGGUAAAGAAUCCUGAAACAUGACCCCAAAAUCACAAGCUGCAGUGUGGUAAGAUUGAAAGUGACCCUUGAGUGACCAGCACCACUUGUACCACUGUUUGAAGAAUUUAUCUUCCAGAAUCUAGUAGUAGCCUACGUUUUUGGAGUUUAUUUUUAUGUCCAUCUCCUACCCUGAAACUUGCUGUUAGUAGCUCACACCAUGACUCCCUCGCCACUGCCGCUGUUGUCUGACUGGAACUGGUGCUGUGUGUCCUAUCAAAAAUCUAAAUCAAAUAUCUUCAUGUAAAAUGCCUUCUGCCUAACAGGAAAACUGCAUUAUAACCAGGGGUGCACUGUGCACAUAAGUGGUGUGCACUUGCGCAUGCGCGACUGAAAAAAAAAAAAUGCGUUGGGUAAAUAUGUUCAGACCGCUCAUUUGCCUACCGACAUGGCUGACAGCUGUUAAUGCACAACCUCUGUAUUAGAUCGACUAACUGUAAUACUGUGUAAAGUUUCCAUUUGAACUGAAUGCAUAAACCUGCCAGUUAAAAUUCACGUUUUUGGCAGGGCUCCCCUGGUAAAAUUUGUGUUCCAGAGACUAAAUAUCAUGUUAUUUUGGGUCGAUUCAACCCACGGACAUGAAAAACAAUCCGCAGAAAUAGUGUAAAAGUAGCCCAGUUCUGCGGGAAACUGCGGACUUGGCAACACUGCAUUCACUGAUGCAAUUCACUAGGCAGUGCUAAAAAUCUUAUUUCCUGGCAACCUGCCAAAAUAAAAGCUUGCUGAUUUUAGCUUUAAAAAUAUUGACAAUUAUUUAAAAAAAAUAAAUAAAUAAAAAUUACAAUGUAAAUUUUAGCAUGGUAUUUUUAAGUGUACUAUAAAAUAUUUGUAUUUUUAUUUAAUACUAUUUUUAAUUUUAAAAUAGAAUAGUAUUAUUACAUUUUAUUUAUUAUUGUGUUUAUUAUUUGAACUAAAAGAAGUGCCGUAAUACUAUUAUUAAUUAUUUUAUAGUCACAUUUAAUGGGGCACACAAUAUGCAGUGUGAGCACCAAAACAAAACUCCAGGUGCUCUAAUGAGAACCAGACUAAAAAAAAACUUAUGUGCACCCCUGAUUAUUACGAUAAUUAAUGACAAAUCAAAGUGUGUUGCUGACUGAACAUUUGUGGAACAAGAGAACUGUAGUUUGUACCAUGCUGCAAUAUUUUACAUUUUCACAGUGUUUGUUUUAACAGUGAACAAAACAAAUAAAACCAUAAUGAUUAAUACUUACUGGAAUACCUUGUAUGAAGCGCUGUAACAAAAAACAAACAAGAACAUAAGUAAAUAAAACUGUGAAAGCAGAAAAAGCUUCAGUUUAAUAUUGUUCGGUUUAAUUGUGUUUAAAUAUAUGAAGCUUGAAUCAGUUCAAACACAAGACUGAAGAAUGAUCCAAUGCUGAUGUUUUCUUCAAAUAUCCUGAUCAAUCCCAGCACACUCCCGUCUGAGCAGCUGAGUGUGAUAAGUAGGAACGUUCCUGAUCAACAACAUUCUCAGGCAGUGUGCACUGUUGGCACCAAUGAAAUCUGCUAACAGUGAUUGUAAAUUAAAUUGCAUUGUUAUUACAUUGUUAGCUAACUGCAUGAUUAUAUGUACAUUUCUGAAACCACAUAUAUUGGACAGUCACCUCCGAUACCAGAUUCUCUAAAUUGUAAUGUAGACACGCAUUCUCUGUUAAGCUGCUUUGAAACGAUAUGUAUUGUAUAAAGCGCUAUACAAAUAAAUGUGAAUUGAAUUGAAA